CGCCUGGGGAGUGCGGCCGCAAGGUUAAAACUCAAAUGAAUUGACGGGGGCCCGCACAAGCGGUGGAGCAUGUGGUUUAAUUCGACGCAACGCGAAGAACCUUACCUGGCCUUGACAUGCAGAGAACUUUCCAGAGAUGGAUUGGUGCCUUCGGGAACUCUGACACAGGUGCUGCAUGGCCGUCGUCAGCUCGUGUCGUGAGAUGUUGGGUUAAGUCCCGUAACGAGCGCAACCCCUAUCCCUAGUUGCUAGCAGUUCGGCUGAGAACUCUAGGGAGACUGCCGGUGACAAACCGGAGGAAGGUGGGGAUGACGUCAGGUCAUCAUGGCCCUUACGGCCAGGGCUACACACGUGCUACAAUGGUGCGUACAGAGGGCUGCAAACCCGCGAGGGGGAGCUAAUCUCACAAAACGCAUCGUAGUCCGGAUCGGAGUCUGCAACUCGACUCCGUGAAGUCGGAAUCGCUAGUAAUCGCGAAUCAGAAUGUCGCGGUGAAUACGUUCCCGGGCCUUGUACACACCGCCCGUCACACCAUGGGAGUGGAUUGCACCAGAAGUGGUUAGUCUAACCUUCGGGAGGACGAUCCACCA
rnacentral:rRNA from 1 species